rnacentral:rRNA from 1 species
GUUGUAUGGUUAAGUGACUAAGCGUACACGGUGGAUGCCUUGGCAGUCAGAGGCGAUGAAAGACGUAGUAACUUGCGAUAAGCCCAGAUUAGGUAGUAACAACCAUUUGAGUCUGGGAUUUCUGAAUGGGGAAACCCACUUACAUAAGUAAGUAUCAUUAACUGAAUACAUAGGUUAAUGAGGCGAACCGGGGGAACUGAAACAUCUAAGUACCCCGAGGAAAAGAAAUCAACCGAGAUUCCGAAAGUAGCGGCGAGCGAAAUUGGACUAGCCCUUAAGCUUUA